UACGGGGGGGGUAAGCGUUGUUCGGAAUUACUGGGCGUAAAGGGCUCGUAGGCGGCCAACUAAGUCAUACGUGAAAUCCCUCAGCUUAACUGGGGAACUGCGUGUGAUACUGGAUGGCUUGAAUUCGGGAGAGGGAUGCAGAAUUCCAGGUGUAGCGGUGAAAUGCGUAGAUAUCAGGAGGAACACCGGUGGCGAAGGCGGAUCUCUGGGCCAUUACUGACGCUGAGGAGCGAAAGCGUGGGGAGCGAACAGG
rnacentral:rRNA from 1 species